rnacentral:lncRNA from 1 species
GAACUGAGCUUUGGCCCACCUAAUUCUGAUGGGAAAUCUGAUGGGCUUCUGGAAGAACUGACACCACGGUGGAUUGGGAACUUAACCAAAUUGAAGUCUCUGACACUCUGGUAUUUCAGGGGGAGCACCUCAUCGACAGACCUGAGCCUCCCUCCUCAUCCGCGUCACCUCACGGGGCUUCCUUCAAAUUUAUCCUCCUUACAACUCCGUAGUUGCGACUCACUUUGCUCGAUGGAUCUAUCGAAUUUGAGGAAACUAUCGUCUCUCGUGAUUCGGAACUGUGCGGUUGCAGAGAUUGAAGGCCUUGGUUGUUUGGAGGACCUACGAGAUUUGCAACUUCACAACAUCAUAGAGCUGGCGAUGCUACCUGAUCUAAGCAAGCUAAACAAGCUAAGGGAUAUUACAGUGCGGGGGUGCGGUAAUCUGGUUGAAAUUCAAGGCGAACUACCGCGGUUUUUGGAUAGACUUUCAAUUGAGCACUGCAAUUCGUUACGGGAGUUCCCCGAUCUGUUCAGCUUACCCGAUCUGUUCAGUUUAAUGGGUAAGACACAUAUUUUUAUGCAUAUCAAUCUCAGUCAGAUGUUUUUAUAUGGAGGUAGAGAUGAGUUGCUGGUUCGUGGCUUUAAACAGAUGCAGAUCCCUGAUCUAAGCGAUUUGGACGGAAUAACAAUUCUUACAGUAGAAUCUUGUCAUAAUCUGGUUGAGAUUCAAGGCGAACUACCCCAAUCUUUGGAAGAAUUGUGGAUUGAAUGUUGUGAAUCUUUACAGAAGUUGCCUGAUCUAUCAAGCUUGAAGGGACUGCGAGAGGUUACAAUAUUACGUUGUGGGAAAUUAGCGGUGGAGGAAAUUUCUCGGCUUUGCUUGGAGAAGUCAAUCAAAUUUCUGAGAGAAGACGAUGAAGAAGACAAUUUACCGGAUUGGGCAACAAUAGAAAGAUAUGAAAGAAGACGAGGGGCAAGACAAUUUGCCAGAAUUCAUUCCCGUUGAGGUAAGUACCAAUGUUUUCCUUUUUGGGCAAUCAAAUUCUUUCACAGAUAUGAACAGAGAAAUUUUGCAUGCACUUUUUAAUGACCUUUUAGCGGAUUCUUGUCUGAAAAUCUGAUGAAGGUAUUUAAAUUAUGAUGCCUCCGAACAGCCAAAGGGCUCUUAAUUAUGUACAAGUAUUUGUGUUAUUUUCCUAGUUUGGUUUGGCUUUUUUAGCUACAUUUUCUUAGGAUGGUUUCUCCUAGAGGUAUGCAUGUCGAUUGCAUCAUUUUUAUUUGAUAUGUAACAAAUUAUUGGAGAUCGUUGUUGAUUUGCUGCUUCACGCAUAUUUUGAAAUUGAUAACCUCACUUCGCAUGGGAGAUAAAUUCGCUAUGCUGUAAACAAAUAGAUGGAAUGUGUGUUGGAAGGUCAUACAACUAUGGUUCUCAUCCUGGGACUUUACAACACAAUCAACUCACUGUUGCGACUUUGACGUAAACAGACACUCUGUAUUGCCAUGCUUAAGUUCAGUUUAUUUUGCAGGAAAGGUGUGCUUCUUAGUGGGAUUUGCAAAUGUUAUGGAGAAGUCAUAAAUGAGGGAGCCACCGCAAUUCUGAGAUUACUGGUGUGGUAGCACUGGCUAAAGCAGCAGCACCAUAAUAUUUAUCUCAGCAAUGAUGCCUUCAAUCAUAGGAAUCUUUGACGGGCACACUGACAAAAAUCAUUCUGUGCAGCAAACAUCGCCUACAGGAGUAAUUGAGAGAAUGCAGCAUUCGCUGUACCAGUAAAGAAGGAGCACCCUUUUGCUGAGACUUGAGAAUUGCACUCACUUACAAAAGAUUGGUAAGAAAAAGAGAACACCUUCCCUUGGGGCUGCCUUCAGUAUUAGAACUGUGCAUUCUGAAGCAAUAUUGGCAUUGUUUUUGUCAUGAGAUCCACUCAAUUCUAGUAAAACACUGGCACUGCCACCAAAAUUGGUAAUGCGUCAUAUGCUGCUCGCCACCUCAGAAGAACUUUCAUCAAGUAGUGGUGGCUCUUCCAUGUACUUGAAAACUUUCGUAGAACCUGGUGAUCAUAAAAGAAGAGCUUUGCACAAGCCAAGCAUCAAUUUGAGAAAAUCUUCCAAAUUCUUCCCAUGUACAAACUCCAAAAGAUUUCCAAUCCACAGUGCUACUUUUAGCUGAGAAAGCAACUUGGGAUCCAUAUCCUGAGCCAAUGCCAGAGCCACGUGCAGCUCAACAUCAUUCACAUUUGCACAGGACAGAUCGCCAAGUGAAAAUCUGAAGCAGUGGCUGACUGUCUUUAGGUGUGGAAUCUCAGAAAUUUUAGUCAAGUUGAACUUUAUGAGCAUCAGGGACAGCUUCUGCGCACACAUUGGUAUUGUGGUCCUCAUCCUCAAUCAAGGUUGGGUAAAGAGGGAGAAAUUGCACCAAGGACAUGGAUUUCAAGUUUGCCAGCUUAAGCUCUAACUCUGGAGUUUUGAUUAGGAAAAUGAACGUCGCAUCAAACUGAAUCUUGAGGCACAGAAGUCUGGCAUCACCAUCUUUGUUGCCCUUAUACAGAACAUCCAGACUCAGCAAAAUCCCACGGAUGAAUACGUGAGAGCUUUCAGCUCUGUGAUAGACUCAACGCCAGCAUUUUGAGCCGGCAAUGCAGGUUCUAGGAGCGGAUCAGUGUUGUGCUCUUGUUUUCUUUUUCAAUCUUGAACUGCUUUUGGAUCGUGUUUGUAAUUAGUGUGCUGAAUUAUGCUUCGUGUGAGUGUGAACCAUCUAAGUUUUGCCUGUCCAGUGUUUGGUGAUCAUGUGCAAUUUUGGUGUUUGACGAAAUGAGUUAUGUGCUUGAGUCUGCGUGUGCUAGAAUGUCACCUUCAAGAAGCACCUGAAGCUGAAGCUGAAGCACAAGGUCUAUUCUGACGGUUUCCUCUCACCCUGCACCUCCACUGGCAAGGUACCUUCGCUUUCACUACUAAUCUCUGCUAGUGAUGUCCAGCUCAACCUGGUCUGCAAUUUAGUUACCUUUGAUUAGGCUUGGACAUGAUUCGGUUUGAUUGGCUAAUCUGUGUCAAAAUUGCUGGCUAUCGAUUUAUUACCGUUUUCCCCCAUAUUUAGGUUGCUCGAUCGAACUGAACAGCAGCAGCUUGAUGCUGCUUACAAUUUCAUUUUUUCUAUCAUCACGGAUUGUUCUGUUCUGUGCUUCUGGUUGUAAUACUCGCCGUGAUUGAGCUUGUUUUGAGUAGAUUAGUCCAUGCUGUGAUUGAUGGUCGGAUAAUGCCAUAUCAUGACAGUGAGCAGCUGUUGGGAUGCAGGAUUUUGAAGAAUGAUAGAAGUUAUUUGUUCCGGUCAGUCACUGAUUUCAAUGCUUAUUUGGUUGAUGUUGGAGAGCCUGGAGGAGGACAAAAGCCUCUAGAUGAUACUUAUAUUCACAGCCUGAUUAUUGUUUGGUAAUUGGAUUUAUAAGUUCCCUCUGCCGAGGGUAUUCCUUGCUUGUCUUCUUCAUAGUUGUUUUGUUGGUUCAAAUCAUCAGUAGAUGCAAUGUGAUGAAUGUGAAGUUCUUGGGUUUGGUUUGUUAAAAGUCCAAAUGGGUAUAUUUUACUUAUUAUUUGUCUUGGAAAAAAGAGCAUUGCUUGCAUACAAAUACGCAUAGACCCUCCUUUGUGAUGCUUUGCUAGUUGCUCGUGUGGGAAAUUAAAUAUUUGUUCUUUUGCUUGCUUCAAACAGCUACUUGGGUACAGUUCAUGUGUUGAUUGAUUUAGAAUCUAGAUGUAAACAUUUGCAGUUGGUCUACUGUUGCUUUUGUUCAAUGCAACUGAUAUUUUGAAACUCCAUUUUUUUCGUUAAAGUUUUUCCUUUUGUUAACCUUACUUUCAAUUGAUGCAGAGCUUUGGUUGAGUUUCUGGAUAUGAGGUUCAGUAUAAUCCCCCCUAUGAAUUACGAGGUGUGUUUUCCUUUUAGCUACUUAAAUCCUUUCGCAUGGAAUCUACAGUUGUAUUGCCUACAUAACUUUUCAUUUUCUGCAGAUGCUCCUAAUUCCUCAAAAACCGAAAAAGAAACACUGGUUAUUUUAGAAGAAACUGGUCGCUUAUGAUGUUGCAACCUGCCGGAAAUGGGAACCAAAUUAAUACCGUCCCUAUACCCUACAUAUAUAGAUUCUACAUCCCAAAUAGCGCAGCUUGCUUUACAAUGCUUCCUAAUGACUCCUAACGAGCAGCCUUCGUGGACUAAAGUCAUGGAAGAACUGGAAUCAGUAGACACUGGAAUAGAAUGGGAUAGUUAAAUUCACUUAUUAUGUCAUUCUUACUUCAUGUGAUGUAAGUCAAAGUCUGUUGUUCCACACUUUUCCAUUUUUCCCGGGAAUAAUCCUGGGCUUUGAAUGUUCAUUUCUAUUGUACCCAGCAGUUACUAGGAGUUGUCUUCUCUUGUAAGUUCUUUGGAAUAUCCAUGACAUGUAUAUUAAUACAUGCACCGCUUUGUGAAUUGAGAUGUGAUUGUACUUAUGAUUAUGAGAGGAACAGUUCUUUAAGGCUAAUCCUCGAUCUUGUUGGCAAUCUGAGGUCCACAGAAGAAGUCCAUUGCUCUUCAAGAGUCCGAGCUCUUUAAUUUUCUUGCAUGCUUGGGCUUUGAACAUGAGCAAAAGCUCAUUUUGGUUGCCAUCACGAAUGUGUUUAUGUGGUGCUUGCUCUGCAAUCAAUCUCCGGGAAGUGCUAGGCGGUUCAUUCCAUUCUCAUAGUAUUUUUGAGCUAUGAGACAUGGUCAGGGAAAUUGAUGGAGUCAUGUAAGGCAAAGUGCUGCUCAGUUGUCCAUUCAGAAAGAGCAAGAUAUGACUUUGGGUGCUGUCAUGUUGCAGCUAAGACAUGUCUGAUUGUUUUGUGCUAAUAAGAGACAUUUCUUAUCAUAUGCUAGUUUUAGAUAAGACUUUCCAUACGACAUCAUAAAUGACUAAAUUUUAUUUUUAUAUUCUCAUUAACUUAGCCCAUUGGUUAUUGUACUUUCUUCACUGUUUGUAAAUCUGAGGGCCCUAUUAUUUUCGACACUUCUCAUGUAAUUUUUAUUUUUAUUUUUGAACUUGUUGAUAUCUCUUUUACAUCACUCUCAACGCAAAAAUAUAAAAGUUUCCAUCAUUUUGGUUUUUUUUAAACAAAUUUAAAAAAAAAAAAUUGAUUACACUAAAGAACUUUCCAAAUAUAUGUUUAUCAAAUAGUAUUUUCCCAAUGUUACUUCUCAAGUCAUUUUAAAUUGCAAAUUACCAAAUAGUGUUUGCAUUUCACAUAACUCUUUUAGGCUAAGGGCCUUUACAUUAGCCAAAGGCUUUCCCCAAAAGUCAAAGCAAACGCACCCAUAAAUGGGUACUUGAAAUUGAGCUUUAUGCAGACCUUUGUGCUUAAUUGUUGUUGCCCUGCUAUGUGACCCGCUGUUUCGUGUAAAUCAGCGAUAUAGUCGUCGUCAUCAUGGCUGAAGCGCUCUUGGAGAUCCGGCCUCAUGAAGUCAAGUUUAUCUGUGAGUGUAUAUAGUGCUGCGCGUUUGGUUCAUUUUUAUUUUGGAGCUACAUUCAAUUUGCGUUGCUUGCCUCCUGCUUUACUAGGCAAUUAGUGAAGGGGAUGAUAUUUCUUUGUUCUACAAUAAUUUGCUUGAGAAUUUGUGGUUCAACAUCGUAAAUAAUGAUAAAAGAAAUAUCUUAAUAAGAGCUUCAAUGGCGAGUAUGAAUCGGUUAUUAAUCGCCCUGUUUUUCAAAUUCUUUUCCUUGUGUUGUUUUCAAAUUUUUGGCUAGGUUCUUUCUUUUUGCACAGUUUCUAUCCUCGCACCACAAACUCUUAGAGUGCCUUGUGAGGUGAAUUUCUUUCCGGAGAUACAGUAAGUGAGUGUUGUAACCAAAUGACUGAGAAUGAUCGGUAGAGAAAACCAACACGCAAAAUGAGAUUUCGUUGCUGCAUUAUGUCUUGAAAGAAAAUGUAUGAUGGUCCAUUUCAUCACAUCCUACUCUCAUGUCGUGCCUCGUUAAGUUUUUUUAUCUGAAGCCUCUUCUUCAUGUUUAUGCAGUUGAGUUGAGUAAACAAAGCUCAUGCUUGAUUCCGCUACGCAACAAGACUGAUUGGUAUGUUGCUUUCAAGGUGAGGAUUUUUUGCACCUUUUCAUUCACCAUGAUCGUGCUUUACUUUUUUUUAGGUAUGGUGGGCGACCAAUUUUCUUUCAAUUCUGUAUUCUCUUGAUGUAGUUUAAAUUUCAGAGUAGGAUAUCAAUGCAUUAAAAGCUCUCUACUAUGGAAAAACAUUAUGAGCUUUAUACUGGAUAUCCAAAACAUUCCAGGUUAAGUCUACAUCUUUGAAGAAAUACUGUGCGCAAUCAAAUGUAGGCAUCAUCAAGCCAAAUGGAGCAUCUGAUUCAAAAUAGUGCUGCUCAAGUCCAAGGAACAUCAUGUUCACAUACUUAUUAAAGCCACUAACAUACUUGUGAGGAGGGACACGCCUACAGUACCUAAAUCAGCUAAAUAAUUCUUUUGCAAUUUCUUUGCCAUGACAUGUCAAUUGGAUUUUAUUAUUGUUGGGUUACAAACUACUUAAGGUAGAGUCAGUCUAAUUGCAGCAAGGAUCAUCUUUGAAUAAGAUUUUGAAUGCCUACCAUAGUAGCCUAAUAUACAUUGAGACAAAGGAAACCACGAUAGGCCUCACAAGCUAUGUCCUGAUACUUCAAAAGAAUUGGAGUAGGCCUUUCAUCCUAUCUUCUGUUUGAUGUAGUUACCAUGUAAGCACGACAGGUAGCUCCAACUAUCCUGUAGUGCAAAGAUAAGUUUUUGAUACAGGUGAAGAGGACUACUGACAUGGUAGGUUUUGCUGCUAUUUGCUCCAUAAUCUUCCAGGUCAAGAAACUCGAGAAAUUUUCUUUUAAAUUUUCAAAUUGAUAAAGAAAGUGGUAAAUACAUAAAUGAGAGGAAGAUAAAAGCAGUUCUAACCAAUCCAGUGGAAUCACUAUCAAUGCUACCAGAUUAUGGAGACCGGAAGCAAGAUUCAUCUUCCAGGACUACCAUCCCAAAGGAUAUCUCACCUGUUGGAGUCGAAAAUGUGUCACCUUUUCUCAAGGUAUUACUUGCAAAAAACAUCAAUAUGUCACUUUAUUGUCUUUCUGGAUUGAGAUGGCAUUGUAUCUAAUCAAUGUAUCGGGGCUUUGCCACAGCCUUGGCUAGGCUGUAUGUUUAUUUAUUUGUGAAUGGAAAUCAAGUUGCUGCACAUCAUCUAUAUAUUGAUCUACCUUUUUAGCAACUAAAUGCGAGUGUAUGGGAUAUCUUUUUUCUCAUAUUAACUGUACGUGAAUCCAUUUCUAUGUCUCAGGAAAGAUUGGAAAUCAUAGAAUAUGACUUCUGUUCUUACUCUUAUAUUCCAGAAGGAUUGUCUUUUGAUGCCAGGAUCCUGAAGAGUUGGACGUGUCAAGAGGUUUUAAGGAGUUAAAAUCAACACUCAACAAGGUGAUACAAAGUUGAAAGAGGUUAGUUUUCUUCCCUUGGUUGAUUUGAAUUCAGGUCUACUUUCACCAGUCAAAUCACUGGGAGGACGGUUUCCCUUCCACUACACAAGCCACCCUUGAUUGCCCAUUUUAUACAGAUGAGGACAGGAGACAGAAGAGGGGAAGAAUUAUUAAAAGGAAGAAAAGAAAACUUAUAAAAGGCAUAGGUGUUGAGUUGGGAGAAUUGCAAAUCAGUCAUAAAUUUAUUUGUAUGAAUAAUCAAAUAAUGGAAUGGAAAACAUGUUUUCUCUCUCAUAUUCUUGGUUCACUGCUACUACUAACACAUUGGUUCUUAUGAAUAUCUGGUGCUGCAUGUAUUGAAGAUUACAUUUUUGUUUACUGAGUAAAAUGGCACGAAAUUGUUAUUGCCAAGUCAGAGUCGACCCGACUAUCACCAGGGACUACUCGAGUUUGGUACUACUGCUGUUGCUACUGCUAUGUUAGUGUUGUGUCUUGGAGAGGUGGUUAGAGAUAAUUUAGGCUUGCUGACUUGGGGUCUUUCUUGUGAUUUCUCUCGGGUUGUCCGAGUCAUGGCAUAUCCCUUAGCUGAUAUUAUUGUGGUAUCUUUCGUUGUGAACUUGCACUGGAGUUUGAUUUUCUCAUUGUUGGGAUCCGUCGAAAGGAAGAUUCUGUCCUGUAAGAUACUUCCUCGAAGAUUAAGAUUUCACUGCCUUAAAUUAGUUUUUUUGUGUUACAAAACUCUUGAAAUAGUAUAUUUGCAUUAUAUUUACCUCCAAAUUAAUUUUUGUGUAACUAGCCUAACGUGACUCAUGAGAUUAUCUAUUCGGCCCUGUCCCCGAACCAUGGGAAGAAAAAUACAGGAAUUUUGGAGAAAAAGAUGGGAUUUUUUUUGAGCGAAACAUGUUAGCCAAUCUACAUAAGUUACACUAGACCAAAAAAUUAGAGUCUCCGAGAAGUUAUCAAAUGCGCCAUCGUUGCGGUGCUAAUCGGAGAUUAUCUCUUCGGAUCGGGCUGCCCUCAGGGGGAGAAGAGGCCGAUUGGCGAUCUUAAGAUUCUGUUUUCAUUCUUGCAUACAAUGAAAUCACUGCUAAAGGAUGAAAGGUAACAAAACUCGGAUCAGAUUUUGCUUAACGGAAACAACAUAGCUAUUGUAAGAAACAACUUCUUCCUUCUGCUGGUAAUUAUAUUGCUAUAUGUUUGAGCCCUUGCCUUGAUAAGGGCAUGGUCUUGCCUAAAGUUUUGGUAAUCUAUCAACUAGUAAGCAAUUGCCUUAACCAAACAGAAACAAUCAGCCGCUCUGAGAGAUUCCUUCUGAUAAGACUCAUAAUGCUUAGACAAUGUAUUGAUGAAUCAUGACUGGUCUUGAAUUUGUGAUUAAAAGGUCAUCAUCGCCUAUUCUUUACAAUCUGGUCCUUUGUCUCAAUCAACCUUUUGUCCACCUCUUGAUAAAUAUAAAGCACAAGUGGUGUGGCAAUUAUGUUACCGAAAAGCUAGAAUUCUGCUUUCCAGUGCUUGAACCACUUAAGUGACGAUGCCUUGCUUUUGUCUUACUGCAGUUAGCUGGUGUCUCCCCUGAUCCAGAAUGAGUUGGGUUCAUCCUCUAACCCCAGUGGUUGAUUAUGUAGUUACUUUUAGUUGUUGGAAGCCCCAUCAGCAACAUCAUUUGAUUUUAUAACCCUCUUUUUAUGGGUUUAUGAAUCUGCAACCUUAGUCAAUUGAGCUCUUAUUUGAUUGAGCUCAUGUGUGAAUGUCUGAUGCAAUUAGCUCAACAGAUGGUGCAUGAUCACAUCAUCCUAUUAUCCAAUAUCUAUCUUUUGCUCAACUAGAGGGUGUGACAGUUGUUGUCAUGCUUGGUGCAUAUUGUUCCUAGGUUCCAGUGCAUUGUUAUUGAAGAACCUAUCUUGGCUUGUUUUAGUGUUCUUCUGUAUUUGCCCCGCCGUUGACUGCAUAAUAAUAUCUGUAUUUCCCCCCACAGAAUAUGGUAUCUUCUUGGUGGCCUGCUAUUUGACUACCCUCUCUGUUUUAUAGUACAUUCUCAACGUAAAUGCAGAAGGGUGUGUUCCCAAUAUCCACUUUGUAAAAGAUCAAAGAAUUCCACUUAUGUACUUGUUGCUCUUUGCUUGAAAAAAUUCUACUUCAUUAUGCAGUAUGGUUCUGGUACCGAGACAUCAGGCCAAAGAUGUGCACUGUACUGCAUACAGCUAGAUGAAUAAUGGACGUAUUUUGCUCCAAGAGAUUUCAAUUUUCCACCCAAGUAGCUGUAGUUGCUGCAUGUUGCGAAAAGAUCCAUGCCCAAAGCGAACUCACUUGUUUUGACCAUGCCCGGUUUUUUGUCGUUCAUGCUUUCAAAGUGGUUGGCUAUUUGGGUGGAGUGCUGUUUCUUGUUUUUGCGGUAGUGACAUUCAUCGGAGUUUUCUAGAGGUUUUCAAUCUGCUGAAAGAGUGGGCUCCGAGCUCGUGAGGUGUGAUAUUGGUUGCGGACUUUGGUUAGAGCGACAAGAUCUAAAUAGGCUGGAAAUAAGGUGCUGAAGAUUCACCAUAGGCCUCUUCUUUAUCGCUUGUUUUCGUGUAUAUUCACAGCUGCAAACGAGCUUUGACUUGAGGCAUGUGAAAUGAAGAGUAAAUGCUGAGAACCUUGUCUAGGCAUUGGUGCAAUUUUCUUAUUUGAAGCUUUAUUGGCCAUCGAAUCUCAUCAUCAUGAACAAGUUUGCAGUUUCAUUCCGAUUUUGAUUAGUUCGAACACAUGGUCCAAGAUUCUUAUAAAUGCUAUGUAACAGAAUUCUCCAAGUUGGAUCCAAAGUUACAUACAUAACCCAAAGUUACAUACAUAACAUGAUGUUUUUGUUCUGAGAUACUAAUACUAAAAGACAGCUUGUUCUGAGUAUGUCGAUACUUUCCGGUGACUAGUAUGGUUCUUUUUCAUUCUUUUACCCCUUUCACCGUAACACAUGGUGCUACAACAAUCGUACCCUUCAAGAACAACGUAGGUUGGGCUUGGGAGAAUCUGCUAGAAGCUCAGGCUAUCAGAGAAGCUGUAAAUCCUUGGAGAAAUCAUGAUGCAGAAGCAAAAAAGAAUUCAUAGUGCCACCAUUGUUGAGUUUGUACCUGGUAUGAUUUCUUCUCGAACGCUCUCAUUCAACAAGGAGAGAACUUUCUGUAAACCAUGCUCUUGAUGGAGAAGUUUGAUAACAUUCAAAACAAAUAGGUCUAGGUGGUGGAGCUAUUUUGCUCAACUCCUUUUAGUUAAUGUGUAAUCCAUGUAUUUAUGAGACAUUUUGGCAAUAGGUCUUAAUGCCUCUGGCUAUUAGACUUGUGCAUUGUAAUUGAUGGGAUGAUCACACAUUAGUUUAUUGGAUUAUGUUUUACUCCUUUUGCCCUUAUAAGUUGGCAAAGAGUACCUAAAAUUGGAUGACCAUAUGUACUGAUGCUGGAAGCUGUGAGUGAACUUUUAAACAACUGAGAUCGUGUUUUGGAUGCUUGAAUAUUGUCUGCAGUACGCCAGACACAUAUCUGCUCAUCGCUCCUCUGUCCUGGAAUGAAUUUGGAAUAUCCUGAAAUGUUUUGAGGCGAUUUUGUAUUUGGCUGCUUGGCAAUUAAUCUCCUGUUCAGUGAGUGAGAUUUCCUGUAUGUGAGUUUUGGAAAUUAUACGUUUUCUUGGCAUUGUUCAGUAUGCGCUUCCCUGAUCAUCGUCCAAUGGUCUGUUAAGAGUUGGCUGCUUGCUUGUCGCAUAUGGUGACAUGGAUUGCAUUCUUUUUUUUUUUUUUUGGGCUUCCAGAACUCAGUAUCUUUCAUGUGCUUUAUAGAUAUGAACGACCGGAGUUCGGACUCUGUCAUGUGCAUUUCUCUCCGCAGUUUUAUUUAUUUUGCGUGGUGUUGGAUUGGGAAUAUUCGUGUAGGAAAUUUUUUUAUGUCUGAAUGGCAAAUUUACUAUCAUUUACUACUGGGGCCGAAUUUUCCUCAAGAAUAUCAAAGCAGCGGUUCUAUGCAAUCAGGCUAGUAAACGUAAUUACUCAGGAAUGAAUAGUGAAGAGCUCGUUACUUUGUUGAGUUUCUUGUUCUUGUUAUUCUUUUUAACUCAAGCAAUUGUUUAGGUCAAGAAUGUGAUGCCUUUAGAUGAUUCAGAAUUAACACUUAAAGAACCAGGACUCACAGAAAAUUUCAUUUCGCAGCAUUGGUCAAUGACCAAUCUUAAUUGAGCUGAUAUGUAGACUUUAUUUGGUGUGCAAAAGCUGAUGAAUGGUGUAAUUUGAUUAUAUCCUAUCUCUCACAUAAUGACCAAUCUUAAUUGAGCUGAUAUGUAGACUUUAUUUGAUGUGCAAAAGCUGAUGAAUGGUAUAAUUUGAUUAUAUCCUAUCACCUCACAAAUGUGAGAAAAGUUGUGACGAAAAAGGGUUUUGAUUAGAUAAUGUGAUUACAUCCUAUCACUAUUCUUUCACAUUCAGAUCGAUUUAAAAUUGUCUCUUUUCUACUAAUCAUGUGAAGCAACUAGUGUGUUGCAAGAAGAGAAUUUAUGAUUAGAUGCUACUGAUCAUUCGGAUAGCCGGCUUCUGGGGCAAGGAAGUUUGCUUAAGAGGGGAGAAAUAGGAAGGUCGCUAUAAUUAUUUAAUGUGAGGUUAUGCUAUUUUGUGGAAAGAGUAAGAUCAAAAUCAAUCAAAGUGACAUUAUGGACUUGCCUUUGCUGCUUAAUCGUACAUAGCCCCAAUAGUUUGUGACAAAAUUUGCCUGUAUCGCUUCUGUCAAUCUUAUACAAUUAGCAUCUUCUAAUCUACGACAACUUAGUCCGAUGUUUUGCGUUGAAUAGCGGCAACAUACGCUUUACUUGGGAUACUUGGUGAGUACACUCGUGGCUGAAAUGCCAUUAUCACGUGUUGCCUAUUGAGCGUUUUGGGCUAGGCAGAAACAGUUGGAAAACCUGCGGGAUCGACAUCUGAUAUAGUGUCUGGAUUGUUCAAGUAUGACUAAGCCAUCUCGCGGUUCAUAAUUGCAAUUUAGAAUCGAAAACUAAGUGGUAAUCCCAUCUUUUUAGCCAUUGAACAACUUGAGUCCUGUCAUAUGUCCCGAUCCCUGAAUCUUUUGGGAGCCAUUGAAUCCAAAGGAGAGGGUCUGAAGAACCAAAGAGGGACAAGUUAACAAAAGCAACUUUAUUUGUACGAGAUUUCGACAAAACACAAAUUAGCUUGAUCAGUGGCUAAGUAGCAUCGACACACAACAGUCUUAUUAUAACUUCAUGACGGUGUUUAAUUGAAAAAGCGAACGGGAUUAUCCUUCACCAUCGUGCUCCGACGAAGAAACAUGUUAAAGAGAAGACCUCUCUCCGAGGGACGUGUACACGUGGUGCGUUUAACAAGAAUUAGCUUCGACCAAGCCCUGAGCUGCUGCGCUCAUCACAUUGAGGAGCCCCUCGCCAGCCAUGGUAUUAUAAUCGGUAGGUCUCUCGCGCCCUCAGAAUCGUGCCCGCAUGACAUAACCAUUUUUCAGUUGAUCAACGUGGUCCGGAUACGAGGACAACCGGCCAUCAGAUUCAGGAUAGCACCUGAUCGCAACUGAUUUUUUUUCUAUGGAACUUUGUUAUUAGUGAUCAAAGAGAAAAAAGCACAAGAUAGCUAUACUGGGUUUUCUCUGCAGUAAGCCAAAAAGAAUGUGAAGUAGAUUUGGAGGGGAAACUAAAUCAAGAACGAUGCCAAGAGAACAUAUAAAUUCCAGAAUCUGCAUACAGGAAAAUCUCACUCGCCGAGCGGGAAAUUAAUUGCCGAGCAGCCAAAGACAGAAAUUGCAUCAGCACAUUUCAGGAUGUUCCAAAUUCAUUCCAGGACAGAGAUGGCAGACGCACAGAUGCAGUCUGGCGUAAUUUUAAAUUUUAUUUUUCCUGCAGACAAAGUUCAAGCAUCAAGAAUACGAUCUGUGUGUUUAGAAGUUCACAUCUUCAUCUCACACUCAUCCAGCUUACAGUAUCAUGUAUAGUUGUCCGAGUUUAAAUGCUCUUUGCCGACAUAUAAAGGCAAAAAAGAUUAAAUAAAUUCAAAUAAAACUAAUGUUUGAUCAUCCUGUCAAUCACCCCUCGGUCAUUCAAAAAGAAAGCCACAAAUUGGGCGAACGUAAUGGUCAAAAUAAGCUUGUGCACCAGAAAGGCUGACCACCAGUAGUACCACAAUGUCUAAUAGCCAGAAUUCUUAAGACCCGUUGCCAAAAUGUUGCAUGAAAAACUUCGUUUGCACACUAAAGCAGUUAACCAAGAUUACUCAACCACGUAGAUGUAUUUUUUCUAUAUGUUAUCAGACUUUUUCAUCAAGAACAUCGUUGAACGAAAGGUCUAGUGAUGUGCAACAAGAGCAGUCGAGAAAAAAAUCAUACCAGGAAUAACUCAACAAUGGCAGCACUAUGAGUUCUUUUUGCUUUCUGCAUCACGAUUCCUCCAAGGAUUCAGAGCUUCUCUGACAGCCUGAGCUUCCGGCGAAUUCUCCCAAGCCCGCUUCUCUGACUCCAAUUCGGUCACUUUAUCAUCUGCAACAUACAACCAGAUUAAUAUUUCUUGGUUAAUACAGAAAGACAGACCCUUUGGUAGUAAAAUAAGCAACCAAUGGCAUGGGAAAGAAUCUGAUAAUCUUCGUCAUGAAGAUGCUCACGAGAGUAUAGGUAGUUAUGAAGGCAAGGCAACCAAACAACAUUCUCACAAUCUUUAGUCUAUACCAAAGUCCAUUCAGAAAGAUGCAAGUGAUGAAAGCUCAUCAGUCUUCAAUAAGAUCACAAAGGAACUGCAAUUUCAACGGGACUACAAAUCACUUCAUCUAAUUGUGUUCCUACAGAAAUUUUUACUCUUUGAUUAUACCCUGAAAGAUAUGAAAUAGCUGCAGAACAAUCCGCUUAAUGUUUUCCCGAGAUGUGCAUCACAGUCAUAAGUUCAAUUUUAAAACCAGUCUCCUCAACGACUUUUCAGAAGUUUCUCCCACAGAAGGUAUCAAUGAACAGAUGAUUAGCUGCACAAGCCAUCUAUUCUCCACAGACUGGAACACUUCGCAUUCAUAGGUAUCGCCAUUCAUCACCUGAGACAACAUUUUUUCGCAUCAUGCUUUUCGUGUAGAACAAUGAGAAUGUUCAGUUCAUCGGCAUAACACGACGGUCCAAAUCAAAGCCCUCCUCUUUCACAAGCAAGCGACUGCAACAUACCAAGCGACUACGACAUACCACUGAAAUCAUGAAUUUCCGUCCUACCCCCAACUUCAGUCACAAAGGAACUGACUAAACGAUGCUUUUCUCAUCCGAAGAGACGAAUUUGAACACGACCCAUCACCGUAAAAUCCACUCCCAUUCGACUAACGCAAUAGCUGUCGCACUAGCAUCGCUCGCGAGCUCUAAAGCAAGGUUCAUUAGAUAAAAAUUGACUCCAACUGCUUAAUAGUGCCUAAAAACCAUCCAUUUCGAAGUUAUCUCGCGCCAUUUUCUUUUGGGGUACGAGCUACCCAAAAGAGAAGCGGUAAAAGUCGAAACGAAAGGAAUUGGCAGGAACGGGCGAAGGCGGAGCAAGAAAGGGAUGGAGUGUCCUCACACAGAAGCCGGUCUUGAUCAUGAACAACUCCAUGGAGCCUCCGACGAGGGCCGAGAAGACCCCGAUCUUCACGUACCAAUCAAGAAACUUCACCGCCAUAUCGAAAGUUGCCGCUCAAGCUUCCGCGGCAGCGGCUGGAAGACGGGAAAACGAAAGAAGGGUCUGUAAGAAAGAGGAGAAGGAAUAGGUAACUUCACGUGGAGAGAGGAGAUCCAUCGAGGCCCAUCAUCGGCCAACGCAGCCCGAACAUUUCCCCUCUAAAGAAAGCUUUUUUAGCUGUUGGGUCCAAGAAACUUGGGCCUUUGGCCACUUUUAGUGCUGCUCGUUGCAUCAAGAUACAAUCUUUUCGUCUUCUCUUCUCGUUGCGUAAACGAGGGCGGAUGCUUUGUUACAGAGUGCGUUUGGUUCAGCAUUUUGAAAGCUCGGAGAAAUACAAAACAGUUUAGCCUAAGGGGCUUUGGACAAAUACAAAGACUAUUUGGUAAAUUACGCUUUGAAAAGCAACUUUGAAACAAAUGCUGUUUGGUAAAAAAACACAUUUAGAAAGCCCAUUUGAGUGAUUAAUAUUAGCUUUUUAGUUUUUAUAUGUUUAAAAUUGACAAAAAUAAUGCAUGCAACUUCUUUUAAUUUGAAUUUUGACGACAGUGCUAAAAAAUAUCAAAUGGAAAAAAUUCACAUCAAAGUUGUCUCUUUCUUAAUUUAAAAAAAAAAAAAACCUUUAUUAUAAUAAACGGAAUAACAUCUGCCCCGAGGAAAUAAAUUUAUUAUUCUUUAAAAUUACAAACAUCCUUAAAUAUUUCCUAAACUUAGAGCCAUUUGAUCAAGCUAGAAUACUAUGUACAACAAACCUUGAUACAACACAGUUUCUCAAAUAUCUAUUCUCUGUUUACAUGCAAAGUCUACAUAAAAGUUCAAAUGCUCCUAUCAUAGAUAGAAUUAAAGGUCAUUGUAGCACAUAAGCUGCCAUGUUUUUUGACCACAAAGAUGACUUGUCUGGCCUGCUUGACUCCCCAGAUGAAGUGGAGGAUGAAUCCUUUGAGUGACCUUUGAGACCUUCAUCAGCAAUUAGAUCCAUCAAUUUUGAAAGUGACAAGGUGUCGAUAUUUCACUAUCAUUAACCUCAGCUAAGCUCAUUAGCAUCUUCACGACAGUCAACAUGGAUGUUUGAAGCCCUGGUAUACCCUGUGUUCAGAGAAGACCAAUCUUCAUGAAUAGGCAUGCCUCUUACCUAUGAUGUUCCCCAUCCAGAGAUGUAUCACUAAGAUCAUUAGCUCCCCUUUCUUGUGCAACUUCCAUGCCCAUAACACAUUGUACAUGUAGAUCAAGAGAUACAAGCAUUUGCAGCAUCACAACUGAACUUCUAAGCCAACAAGAGCAAGAAAGUCUCCAAACCCCAAGCCUAUCUGUCCACAUAAUCCCCCGUUAAACACAUAACCGAUUUUCACAAGAAAGACCCUCCUUAACAGGAACAAAACACUGUGAAGUUGCCCAUGAACAUCCAGGUUGCAUAACAUAACACAAAAUUGACAUGUAUUCUUUAUACCCAUUCAUUGCCCACUCAUUCUAGCAAGUAUCAGCUAUAUGAAUAAACAUCCAUGUUGCAAAACAGAACACAAAAAACCAGUGCAUAACUCGUAACUGGCACGUAUGACUUUGAUAGCAAAAAAUUUGUUGCAACAUAAUACAAACUGGGAUGCUAGAUUAAGCAUACAUAUAGCACCAAAUAAGGAGCAGAUCAGGGCAUCAACAAAUUUGGGCAGCAUGAGUUAAAGAACCUACUGUAAACAGGUGAAUGAACACCCCAAAGCAGGAAUGGGAUUAUGAUGGAUAGCAAUUAAAUGAAGUUCCAUAAGGUCAUUCCGCAUCCACGCAUCACUCAAUGCACUCACCCCUCCAGUCAAACUCUCCAGGAACUCAAUCUUCUUCUCGAUCGAGAGCCCCCGAGACUUGGCAUUCUCGCCUGGUGGGGAUAUCAAACAGAACAAAGAGAGAGAGACAACAGUCAGCAAAAAAUGCCGCGCCGACAUCGACCCCAGCGACGACCCCGACCCCGAUCCCGACGACGCCGUUGACGAGACCGACGCGCGCGUCGGAUCCUCGACGCCGGCGUGGCCUGGAUCCUCCGCGGUGCCAUACACAAGCGCGAGGUGGAAGCUCUCGGACGUCCGGUUCCAUCCCAUCCAAGACAUUCCCGAUCGGGGAUCCGCCGACCUCGCGCGCCGCUCACCGGCCUCUCACCGGCCUCUCGGUCGAUCGAUCGCGGCGGUCGUCUUCGUCGGCGGCGGAUCGGAGGAUGGCAGUCGAGCUCGCAGUGAGAGAGCGAUGGGGAAGGGUGGAGAGAGAAGGCGAUCUGGGGUUUUAGUUUCGAAAUGGGUAAAAUUGGUUUUUCAAUAAAGCUUUGAAGGUAAAAUAGGUAACCUACUAAUUUUCAUCAAAUGAACCCUUCAUCCUUCCGAAAAGCUUUGAGUAUUCCAAUUGCUGGCUUUCAUUUGAAAGCUCUUUGGGGAUGAUUGUCAAACGCCCCAAAUCUUCUCUAAUGGGC